CGUGUAGGCUGUUGAGUAAGUCAGAUGUGAAAGCCCUAGGCUCAACCUAGGAAGUGCAUUUGAAACUACUCAGCUAGAAUAGAGGAGAGGAAAGUGGAAUUCCUGGUGUAGAGGUGAAAUUCGUAGAUAUCAGGAGGAACACCGGUGACGAAGGCGGCUUUCUGGCCCUUAACUGACGCUGAGACGCGAAAGCGUGGGGAGCAAACAGGAUUAGAUACCCUGGUAGUCC
rnacentral:rRNA from 1 species